rnacentral:rRNA from 1 species
UACGGAGGGUGCGAGCGUUGUCCGGAAUCACUGGGCGUAAAGGGCGCGUAGGCGGCGCGGGUAGUCAUCGGUGAAAGUUCAGGGCUCAACUCUGAAUCGGCCGGUGAUACUCCCGUGCUCGAGCACUGUAGAGGCAGGUGGAAUUCCGGGUGUAGCGGUGGAAUGCGCAGAUAUCGGGAGGAACACCAAUGGCGAAGGCAGCUCGCUGGGACGUUACUGACGCUGAGACGCGAAAGCGUGGGGAGCAAACAGG